CUUCCAAAGACUUCCAUGCAGCUAGCAUGGAUGACAUCCUGGGUUGCACAUCCGCUUGAUUCUGUUAAGAGCUUUAGGAGACAGAUGGACCAGGAUAAGAUGUGUGAAGAACCGGUGCCCACUAACGAUUGAUCAGCCUGUAGGUGGUCUGCAGGCACCAUUGGAGGUGUGACAGGCAAACAUGUCCAGCAGAGCAGGCAGUCUAACCACCAAUCCUUUUAUAUAAGGUAUAGAGGCCGUGUAAGCUUAGUUUACACCAAAUAUAUGUACUGCUUUUAUUAUAAAGGUUGUUUUGUGGGAGAGAUCCGAAUGUCAGAUUCCAAUGUCUUUUACUGCAGGUGUUUUUGUAAGACAGAGGUAAAAAGGUGCAUUAUCUUGGAUUCUCCUAUACCUAUAACUGUAGAAUAUUUGAUUAGGAGAAUAAUUAGUGAGAAUAACAAGCAUGGCAAACUGAAGAAUUUAUGUCUAUAUGUCUAUGGAAGUUCUGUGCAUCCCCGGGAUGAGAGACUGCAUGUUGCUCUAGGUGUUUUACACAGGGUGCUGGGAUUUGGAUUGGAUGUUAAAUGGGUGUCCAGACUGUGUGUGGUCACCAUAGGUCCCAUGGCACUGAUUGUAAGAGAAGGGGUGUUUACCUGUGUGAUGGCAAAAUGUAAUCUCAUCAUGGCUACCUAACAUCCCCAUCUUCCAACUGGAUCAUCAUCUCUCCUUCUGUAACUAUUCGCAAGGUUGAUGCUGAAAAUCUCACCUGGUAAAAUAAUAAACUAAAAAUCUCACCUACUUAUCCAAACAUCUUUAAUUCAUCUGUCUUAAUUGCUCUAUUUCUCUUCACUGUUUCUGUCCAUCCCUUCAGUCACCAUGACUCUUAUCUCUCGUAUUUCAGAGCUCUGACGUUGCAGACUACCAAAGGACAGACAAGGCCCAUAACAACCAUUCUGGGAUUGAAACAAUAUAUCCGCUCACAUCACCCAGUAAUUGGGGGAAACUGGAAAGUUAACUGCCUGGAGCCCUAAACUCUGUCCCCAAUUCUGGCCAUCAGUGUUCUGAAUCACGAUGUUCCACCGUGGGUCCUGACUGCUGAGAACACUACCGGGCUAAAAAGACACAUGCCACUUAUCCUUCUACUAAUACCCAACAUGCAUCUGUGUAUUCAAAUAUUUCACAAGAUUACUUGGACACUGCAUACCACAUAAGGUAGUCCUUGGACUGUGUUUUAGGAUUACCUGGCCUGAUGUCUCCUAGUUGUCCCUGUCCAAAGUCCACCUAAUUUUGUUGCAGAUCUACACAGUGAUUAAAUUUCAUCCAGCACAGCCAGAAGUGGACCCCUCAGUCUGGCUCCUCUCUAGGUUUCUUCCUAAGUUCCUGUGACGACUGCACCCUCUGAUGCCUCUCCUCCCCCUGCAGCAGGCAGGCUCCAGCGGUCGACGUCACUGGUCUUCUAAAACCACCGCGCACCUCAUUUAUUAAUUUCACCUGUUGUCUUGUUUAGCGCACCUGGUCCUCAUCCUCAUCAUUCACCCCAGUAUAUAUGUUCCUUCUGCUUCCCCUGUCUUUGUUUGUUAUUGUCUCACCGUUUGUGAGCACAAGUCAGUGUUUCUGCAUUUUACUAAACUGUGUUUCGAAACAACUCCACGUCUCCUGCUCCUCAUUUUCGCCUCAGCCCUGACAGAAUAACAUAGCUUAAGAAGAAGAAAACAUGGAGCAUGGAGGAGCUCCAUGCCAGCCUGGGUGCCGCGAUGGACAGCAUCCUCAAAGCCGUGCAGCGCCUGGAGCUGAGCCAGCAGAGCCCCGCAACACCUGCGUUUGUGUUUAAAUAUAAUCUCUCCACCUAGUCCUGGGCCUACCCCGAGGUCUCCUCCCGGCUGGACAUGC